AUAACAGUUGUCGCCGCCGCACGAAAUUAGGGUUUACCGUUCCACUUGACCAUCUAUAAAACGCAAGACACCAGAAGCACGGUCGUAACUUCGCGUUGUGGCGUCUUCAAAAUUGGAAUUACAUAGCAAGAGGCCUGGAAGAAGGUUGAAGAACUAGAGCAACAUGCUUAGUGCGUCAACAACCGCUCAACGCAAGGAGUCAACUUGGAGGCCAGGCUUAGCGCGCAUUUAACGGCUUAGCGCGAUGUCACUUAUGUCAACUGAACUUUGCAUGUACGCUUAGCGCACACGAGCAGGCUUAGUGUACAGUCAAUGUUGAAAAACAUGACUAUGGUGCUUUUUAAAGGAAAAAAGGGAGAAACCAAAGCAGUUUUUUUUUUUUUUUUUACCAAAAGAAUGAGCUAGGGCACGAAAGAAGGGGGAGAAUGCACCCACUUGGGGACCCUUCCCUCCAUUCUCUUCCACACCUCUUGUUUUCUUUUUGUAUUAGUAAGCCUCUCAUGACAAUGAAGGGCUAAACCAUUCAUUGUUGGGAGCUCAACAACCAAACACUCUUGAUGUAAUAAUUCUAACUAUCUAUUUAAUGCUAUUUUGAUAUUAUUGUCU